rnacentral:tRNA from 1 species
GUUAAUGUAGCUUAAAUUUUAAAGCAAGGCACUGAAAAUGCCUAGAUGGGUUUUCAAAACCCCAUAAACA